CCGAGCCCAGUGCGUGGAUGCGGCUGAUAGUGGCGCGCGCAGGUGCAGCUGGGCGGAGUUUGCGACGGAAGUGGCCCCUUACCCUCAGCGUGCCGGGAGCUUUACGUGAGCGAACAGGGAAGAGUCUGUGUUCUGAAUGACUGUGGCAGUACCUGGGCCCGUGGAGCCUUCUGGUGCGGCAGGCGGAGGCACCAAGCCUGGUUGAGCGGAACCUGCGGUUUGUAGUGCUGCUGGCGGAACCUGGGUGAGCAGGAGCGAAGAGUUGACUUAGAAUGCCCUGGUUGCAAAGCAGCAUCCACUGUGGGGAACUUAGUCCCAUCACUUCUCCUCUGUAUCCAGCUCUGCAUGCUGUCCCCAGUGAAAUCAAGGGCACAUCAGUUCAAGUCAGGAGGUCAAUGAUGGGAAUGAACUGCUCCACCAGGGAGGUGGGAAACUUCACACAUCUGAAGUAUAACUUUAACCUAUAGGAUUCAUUGAAGAAAAGACUUGAAGCCAACUCCACCACUUGGGAAGAACAGAUUACUACCGUACAGCAGGUUAACACCAGCUUCAUUAUUCUACACUUUUCCCUGUUGCCUCUUAAUUCAGAACUACUAAGGACUAGAACCAUAAGGAAUUCAUAUCUUCCUGAAAUCUGGUAAUGGGGAAAAUGGCCUGCAACAGCCUUAAUUGGUGCCAAGUAUGAAGAAAUUGAUAGCUCGUGGAAAUAAUUUCAUUCACUUAGUCAAGAUUUGUUUGGGGUUAAAAAAAAUUUUUUUUUUUUUUUUGAGUGUGUGUGUAUGUGUAUGUUAGUGGGGCUCAAGCCCCAGGGCACUUUACCACUGAGCUACAUUCCUAGCCCUUUUUAUUUUUUUAUUUUGAUACAGUCUCACUACGUUGCCCCACAUGGCCUCAAACUUAUGAUCCUCGUGCUUCAGCCUCCCAAUAACUGGGAUCACAGAUGCCCAACAGGAAGAAUUCUGUACUCUUGGAAAAGGACUAAUCAGAGAGGAAUCUACUGUCAACUUUCAUCAGAUAAGUUUUAUCUCCAGAUAACAGAAAAGGAAGAGAAAAAAGUAUUUGAAAGUAUGUGA
rnacentral:lncRNA from 1 species